rnacentral:rRNA from 1 species
GGUCAAGUUAUUAAGGGUGCAGGGCGGAUGCCUUGGCACUAGGAGCCGAUGAAGGACGUGAUAAGCUGCGAUAAGCUUCGGGGAGUUGCACGUAAACUUUGAUCCGAAGAUUUCCGAAUGAGGAAACUCACUUAGAGUAAUGUCUAAGUAUCAUUAAGUGAAUACAUAGCUUAAUGAGGGGAACUCAGGGAACUGAAACAUCUAAGUACCUGAAGGAAGAGAAAGAAAUUCGAUUCCGUAAGUAGCGGCGAGCGAACGCGGAUUAGCCCAAACCAAUAAAGUUUUCUUUAUUGGGGUUGCGGACAUAUCAUAACGAAGAGGUAUCGUAAUUGAAGAGGUUUGGAAAGACCCACCACAGAAGGUAAUAGUCCUGUAUGUUAAACGAGAAGACUUCAGAUAUGAUCCAGAGUACCACGGGACACGUGAAACCCUGUGGGAAGCAGGAGGGACCACCCUCCAAGGCUAAAUACUACCUAGUGACCGAUAGCGUAUAGUACCGUGAGGGAAAGGUGAAAAGAACCCCGGGAGGGGAGUGAAAUAGAACCUGAAACCCUGCACUUACAAGCUGUGGAAGCACAUUUCUUGUGUGACCGCGUACUUUUUGUAGAACGGGCCAACGAGUUACGUUAAGUAGCAAGGUUAAGCACUUAAGGUGUGGAGCCGUAGCGAAAGCGAGUUUUAACUGAGCGUUCAGUUACUUGACGUAGACCCGAAACCGGGCGACCUACCCAUGAGCAGGAUGAAGCGAAAGUAAAAUUUCGUGGAGGUCCGAACCCACGAGCGUUGAAAAGCUCGGGGAUGACUUGUGGGUAGCGGUGAAAUUCCAAUCGAGCCCGGAGAUAGCUGGUUCUCCCCGAAAUAGCUUUAGGGCUAGCCUCAAGGUGAGAGAUACGGAGGUAGAGCACUGAAUGUCCUAGGGGGUAUUGCACCUACCGAAGACUAUCAAACUCCGAAUGCCGUCAUCUUAUACUUGGGAGUCAGACUGUGGGUGAUAAGAUUCAUAGUCGAAAGGGCAACAGCCCAGAUCGUCAGCUAAGGUCCCUAAAUGUAAGUUAAGUGGUAAAGGAUGUGGGAUUGCACAGACAACCAGGAUGUUGGCUUAGAAGCAGCCACUCAUUCAAAGAGUGCGUAAUAGCUCACUGGUCGAGUGAUCCUGCGCCGAAGAUUUCCGGGGCUAAAACUUACUACCGAAGCUACGGCAUCAGUAAUGAUGGGUAGGGGAGCUUCCCAUA